rnacentral:tmRNA from 1 species
GGGGGCGACCUGGUUUUGACGGGAUACACUUAGGGCAAGGUUGCGCGUCGCGGGUUUCCCUGGCCGCGUUAUCAAGGGAUAAGCCUUUAAAUGGCGUUAAUAACAACAGUAGCUACGGCUACGCAAUGGCUGCCUAAUAAACGCAGCUUGCUCGCCUGAAACCUCGCUUGUGGUUCGCUGGUUUGAGCAUCAUUAAAACAAGCUAGCUGAAAGUCUCGAGCGUUGGACUGAUGCGAAACCCAAAGACGUUUAAGCCUCAGAUUUAAGCGAGUCAACUAGCUUGCCUGAGGCCGACAAUAGAUAGCUGACUACACGCGUAGACGCCUGUCUGAUGGUAUUUCGGACGCGGGUUCGACUCCCGCCGCCUCCACCA